UGGGGAAUAUUGCACAAUGGGCGCAAGCCUGAUGCAGCCAUGCCGCGUGUAUGAAGAAGGCCUUCGGGUUGUAAAGUACUUUCAGUCGGGAGGAAGGUGUCAAGGUUAAUAACCUUGGCAAUUGACGUUACCGACAGAAGAAGCACCGGCUAACUCCGUGCCAGCAGCCGCGGUAAUACGGAGGGUGCAAGCGUUAAUCGGAAUUACUGGGCGUAAAGCGCACGCAGGCGGUUGAUUGAGUCAGAUGUGAAAUCCCCGGGCUUAACCCGGGAAUUGCAUCUGAUACUGGUCAGCUAGAGUCUUGUAGAGGAGGGUAGAAUUCCAUGUGUAGCGGUGAAAUGCGUAGAGAUGUGGAGGAAUACCGGUGGCGAAGGCGGCCCCCUGGACAAAGACUGACGCUCAGGUGCGAAAGCGUGGGGAGCAAACAGG
rnacentral:rRNA from 1 species